ACCGGCCCUCGUUGGAGCCGACCCUGUUACCUGUAGCAGGCGUGGUCAAAGAAGGGCCAAGAAUGACACCUUCCUACGGUCGCUGUUCAGUUCUCUAGCUGCAUCAGCAACAUACAGGAUAGGAACAUUA